GGUUUUUGUCUUAAGUCAAACUUUCUAAAGUUCGACCAAAUUUAUAGGAAAAAGUAUCAACAUCUAUAAUACAAAAAUAAAUAUAUUAUGGAAAUAUAUUUCAUGCUUGAUCUAAUGAUAUUGGUUUGGUGUUCCAUAAGUUGAUAGUUUUUCCUAUAAACUUGGUCAAACUUUAAAAAGUUUGACUUGGGACAAAAACCA
rnacentral:pre_miRNA from 1 species